UGUUAACAUUGUCUAAUGGAAUCUAGGAUCCCCGACAUUUACGCAGCUUUUACGCGAUUUACCCGAUCUGGAACAUGAUGGGGGUUCGCAGGAGCAAAAGUCUGGCAGACAAUCACCAACGGCCUUUUUUCGUUCCGACAUACAGCCCUUUAUGAUAAAGGAUGCGUUAUGGCCAGCUGACACGCAGGACUUUGAUGCAAUUCUACCGUUCUGUACGAGCGCUUUUUCAAACUCACCGCGAAUCCAGGGAACAUCGACCCCCUCCCGACAUAUUCAAGACCCCAACAGGCAACGAUCAACUGUGGCCCAAGUACACUGCUCCGAAUCAAGCCCACCCGAAAACUACUGUUGGGCCGGGAACUUGCUGCUUCACGAGCCGGCGCUCCAGGGACAAGACUACCCGGAGACAGAUCCAGCAGAAUCGGGAAAGCUAGAGGGAAAAAGUCACACACCCCCGGUUUCGGCGAUUCGUCACAACAAGCGCCAAAAAA